rnacentral:rRNA from 1 species
UACGUAGGGUGCAAGCGUUGCCCGGAAUUAUUGGGCGUAAAGAGCUCGUAGGCGGUGUGUCACGUCGUUCGUGAAAACCUGCAGCUUAACUGUGGGCGUGCGGUCGAUACGGGCAUCACUGGAGUUCGGCAGGGGAGACUGGAAUUCCUGGUGUAGCGGUGAAAUGCGCAGAUAUCAGGAGGAACACCGGUGGCGAAGGCGGGUCUCUGGGCCGAUACUGACGCUGAGGAGCGAAAGCGUGGGGAGCGAACAGG